rnacentral:lncRNA from 1 species
GGGGAGACUACAAGUGUGGGCACUGGGCAGACUCACUUAUCAGAAACAUCAAGGACAGACUGCAAUUGCUUCCUGGUGUGUGGGGUGAGAAGAUGGGGAUCUAGUUUAACGUUCUACAUGUAGACACACUCUGUCUGUUGAAGAUGCUAUCAUCGUCCUACAAAAUCUCUCCUCCCCUGCCUUUGAUGAAGUUGCUACCACAUGGGGUAUGCCCAUCUGCAGGACAUGGAGGAAGGACC